GCAAGACUCUUUAAGUUUACUAAUAAAUCCUCUCACUUUUUAUUUACUGCAACACAGUUCAUAAAUGUAUUUUUCAGUCACAGUUCAUUUAUCAAAAGAUCAGUCAGUCACAUUAAAAUCUCUACUAGCUGACGGUAAACUCGGUUACAGUGUCAUAAAACUCCUCAGUGUCAAACAUUCCUCUGAUGAACAGUUUGAGACCUGCAGACGACAUGAAACCGUCUGCUUCUCUCCUCCUGAAAGGGUUUAGGUUUUAUCCCCGUGGCUGUAAAUGCACCGGCUCUAUAAAAAGGCACUGUUCCAUUAAGAAAUGAAAAGCGUGUGAAACACUAAAAAAGAUGAUUAAUUACUGGUUAUACAGUACAUAUAUUCAUUUUCUACAUGACAAACAGAUUCAAUGAUGUGUAAAGCAACCCGUUACUCUUUAUUUUAUACACCGUCCUGCUGCCACUAAUACUCACUUGAGCACCAAAUGUGGAUUAAUCCGCCACAAAAAAUAGUCCCCCCCAACAAAUGCACCUUGUCCUCCUGUUUAAGUGACGUUUUGUGUCCCAU